rnacentral:rRNA from 1 species
GAUGAACGCUAGCUACAGGCUUAACACAUGCAAGUCGAGGGGCAGCGCAGUGUAGCAAUACAUGGGCGGCGACCGGCGCACGGGUGCGUAACGCGUAUCCAACCUUCCCGUUACUCAGGGAUAGCCUUCCGAAAGGGAGAUUAAUACCUGAUGGUGUUGAAAUUCCGCAUGUUAUUUCAACUAAAGAUUUAUCGGUAACGGAUGGGGAUGCGUGACAUUAGAUAGUAGGCGGGGUAACGGCCCACCUAGUCUACGAUGUCUAGGGGUUCUGAGAGGAAGGUCCCCCCANACUGGAACUGAGACACGGUCCAGACUCCUACGGGAGGCAGCAGUGAGGAAUAUUUGGGUCAAUGGGGCGGGAGCCUGAACCAGCCAAGUAGCGUGAAGGAUGACUGCCCUACGGGUUGUAAACUUCUUUUGUUUGGGAAUAAAAGACGCUACGUGUAGCGUCCUGCAUGUACCUUACGAAUAAGCAUCGGCUAAUUCCGUGCCAGCAGCC